GUUUGAAAUUCCUGUCACCCAACCCUUUGGCACCCCAAAAUUAAUCAUUUAUCGGGCGACAUUUUUUUUUUGUAUUUUUUUGUGUCGCCCCGCGGAUUCAAUAUUUACUUUUCUACCCCAGCAACCCACUUGUCGCAUAAAUUGCUUAUUGAAAAAUGCCGCCAAACGUGACGUGCUCCGCAUAUUAAAAAACAUUUAUUUGCCGCAGCAAACGUUGAACCUUGUCUGGCUCAUAAAAAUUAAAUACUGGAGCAGCAAAAAAAUAUUGAAAAAAUGUACAUAAGGUUAGUCAUAAACGGAAAUCAAAUGAAAAGGUCAGAAAUACACAAAACCCACAAUUUGCCAGCCGCUCGUAAAAAUUCGAACCGAGAACCGCCGAUCUUUCCCGCCCUGUUUUGCCUACUCUCUACCGUUCUCUCCGACCCUCGUCAGGGGUAAGUGUUAAUUUAUUUGUCGGUUGAUUACAACGCGAAUCCGGCAGCUCGACGUCGUGUUUGCUGCAAAAACAAAUUAAUUUUUAUGUCCCUGUGCGAGGGGCACAAACACAUUUUGAGUAAUGCGACAGCCGACCCAAAGCCGGAAGUGUAUUAAUUUCCGACCAGAGACAGGAGCACCGGAAAAAGGAACGUCGAGUAUCAAGGUGAAGGUUGAUUUGUCGGGAUAAGACUUUUUUGUUGUUUUGGAAAUAUGGAGAUUAUGUCUGCGUCAGGAGCAGUGUAGUAAGAAAAAAGGAUCCCAAAGCUUAAGAAAG
rnacentral:lncRNA from 1 species